AAUUAACGCUGGCGGCGUGCCUAACACACGCAAGUCGAACGAGAAAGUCCUUCGGGACGAGUACAGUGGCGAACGGGUGAGUAACACGUUGGUAACCUGCCCUCGGGAAGGGGAUAACAUGCCGAAAGGCGUGCUAAUACCAUAUAACGUCCUGGAACCUACGGGUUUCUUGACCAAAGGAUGGCCUCUACUUGUAAGCUAUCGCCUGAGGAUGGGCCUGCGUACCAUUAGCUAGUUGGUAGGGUAACGGCCUACCAAGGCUCUUUAUGGUUAGCUGGUCUGAGAGGACGACCAGCCACACUGGAACUGAGACACGGUCCAGACUCCUACGGGAGGCAGCAGUGGGGAAUCUUGGACAAUGGGGGAAACCCUGAUCCAGCAACGCCGUGUGAGUGAUGAAGGUCUUCGGAUCGUAAAGCUCUGUCGAUCGGAAAGAAUGCUGCAAGCAUCAAAUCCUUGCAGUUGACGGUACCGAUGAAGGAAGCAACCGGCUAAACUCUGUGCCAG
rnacentral:rRNA from 1 species